UCAAGGAAACCUGGAGAAGGAACCUGAAGAAUAAAGUUGUGAGAGGGAUGAUCUAAACAGAGUAAGGGGAGCACAUAAGUGGACUGACUAUAUGGUUUGCCUUGGCAGGUAGAGAGAAGGUUUCAAAAUGCAGAAGAGGCCAAGGAAAGAAGAUUUAUCCUAGGCUGGGCAGCAAUAAAAACAGCAUUCUUCCAGAGAGAGUGAGAAAAUAAGAAAAUGACCAUGAAGAGCAAAUAAAACUAGAAAAGGAGAGAAUAAAGAUUUAUAUUUACGUACAUCGCUGUGAAUGUGCUUUGUUGCUCGUUCAGGCACCGUGGCAAGUUUCUACAACAUACACCCUAUCUUGCAGCAAAAACGCAGAAGUAUUGAGAGACAUCUUUGAAAACCUUCAUCACUUUAUGCAACAGGCUUAGGUUUCCCUGAAGACAAAAGCAUCCCUUAAGUCAAGUUUUUUGUUUUAAAGCUUUGUGAUCAAUCGUAAUACAGGUAGUAGAUGUCAUUACGUUGUAGAACAUAAGAUAGUCUUGGAAGGAUGAAUUUAUAAAGUGAAUCAGUAGAGAACCCAGAAAUUCUGCCUUCUACAAAUUAGUUCCCCCUCUCCUCUUCUCACUUUUAAGUGGGAGAGACGACUAUAAACUUCUGAAAGCUUGUUAAUGUAUUAUUCAUGAAAGUAUCCUAAAAAAGAGUUGUUUGGUGUAUGCCUUUGAGGAUGAAGGUGCAUGUCCUUACAUCUAAGAAAGAAAGCAGUGAAUAGAAAGACUGUCAAUAAGCACAAGGAGAUAUGUCAUUAUCAAUUUGAGUAUUCGCUUCUUUUCUGGAAGGUUGCAAAUAUAUCCUUCUAAAACUGCUGAUCCAAUAAGGCACUGUUUAUAAACUAUUUUCACUUGAUCCUAAAUUCAAGUAUUACGGAUGAUUGCAAUAUAAUGUAUAAAAUUUAAAAAGGUGUUAUCUUAUUCAAUUAUUUCUUAUUUUAUGAUAUAUGGGCAUUGAAUUAAAAGAAUUUUAGAUGAAAUGUCUAUACCUAAAUAAAAUCUUUAAGUUACAUACAUAAAUUUGUGCCCUUCUUGUAAAACUCUUCAGAAACUCUGAAUUUUUAAAAAUGAGCAAAUGGAAGUUGAUUUUUUCGUCAAAUUUAUAAAAAGGUAUUGUUCUGAACCAGUGGUAUUAAGUUUGUGGAAAUAAAAAUUCUUGCCUAGUGGUACAAAAGCAUGCAAGUGAGUGUGAAUGCUUUAUGGUGCCUUCCUAGCUGCCUUACUCUAGCUCCCCUAUGUGGGCUGCCAUGCUGCUGCACCAGGUCUCCCCUUGAAUUGUGCAAUGUAGCAAUACUGGUUAAUACUUCCCCAUACUAGAGAAAUGUCUUCCCUGACAGGUGUCCUAACAAUUCCCUCAGAACUUAGUUCUUCUUUUGGAAUGCAGUUACAUUGUCUCAUAAAACUUGAUCAAUAGCAUUUCCUCCAAUAGUUAAUAUUAAAUGUUCAAGUGUUAAAAAAUAGUUUAAAGAAUAUUAAAGUGCAAUCUCACUCCUGGGCAUAUAUCCAGAGGGAACUAUAAUUUGAAAAGAUACACACACCCCAAUGUUCAUAGCAGCACUAUAUACAAUAGCCAAGACAUGGAAGCAACCUAAAUGUUUAUCAACAGAUGCCUGGAUAAAGAAGUUGUGAUAUAUGUAUAUGGAAUGGAAUACUACUCAGCCAUAAAAAAGAAUAAAAUAAUGCCAUCUGCAGCAACACUGAUGGACCUGGAGAUUAUCAUUCUAAGUGAAGCAAGCCAGAAAGAGAAAGAAAAAUACCAUAUGAUAUCACUCAUAUGUGGAAUCUGAAAAAAAAAAAGAAAGAAAAAAAGAGGAUACUAAUAAAUUUAUCUAUAAAACAGCAACAGAUUCGCAGACAUAGUAAACAAUUUUAUAGUUACCAGGGGAAAGGGGGUGGGAAGGGAUAAAUUUGGGAGUUUGAGAUUUGCAAAUGUUAGCCACCAUAUAUAAAAAUAGAUUUAAAAAACUCAGAUUUCUUCUGUACAGCACAGGGAACUAUAUUCAAUAUCUUGUAAUAACCUUUAAUGAAAAAGAAAUAUAUGUGUGUAUAUGCAUGACUGGGACAUUGUGCUGUAUACCAGAAAUUGACACAUUGUAACUGACUAUGCUUCAAUAAAAUUUUUAAAAAAGUAUUAAUGCCAGUUUACUCAAACUCUUCCGAAGAACUGAGGAGGAGGGAAUACUUCCAAACUUUUUAAAAAUCAAUGCUAGAUAGUAUUAUAAGAAAAGAAAACUGUAAGCCUAUAUUCCUGAUGAAUAUAGAUAUACUAAUUCUCAACAAAAUACUAGCAAACUAAUUCAAUAUGUACUGGAAAUCCUAGCCAGAUUGAUCAGGCAAGAAAAAAAGGCAUCCAAACUGAAAAGAAAGAAAUAAUAUAGUCUCUGCUGGUGACAUGAUCUUGUACAUAGAAAAUCCUAAACUCCACCAAAAAAAAAAAAAUUAUUAGAACUAAUCAGUAAAUUCAGUGAAGUCACAGGAUAC